rnacentral:rRNA from 1 species
ACAAACAUCCAUUUCGAUAGAAUAGGUUAAUAUAUCAGAUCCCAUUAGAACUUCGUAGUUAAGUGCGCUCGGGUUGGAGUAGUACUAGGAUGGGUGACCACCCAGGAAAUUCCUAGUGUUUUAC